GAGGAAUAAGCAUCGGCUAACUCCGUGCCAGCAGCCGCGGUAAUACGGGGGAUGCAAGCGUUAUCCGGAAUCAUUGGGCGUAAAGCGCCUGUAGGUUGUUUAAUAAGUCUGUUGUUAAAGACUAGGGCUUAACCCUAGAAAAGCAAUGGAAACUACUAGACUAGAGUAUGGCAGGGGUAGAGGGAAUUUCUAGUGUAGCGGUGAAAUGCGUAGAUAUUAGAAAGAACACCAGUGGCGAAAGCGCUCUACUGGACCAUUACUGACACUCAGAGGCGAAAGCUAGGGUAGCAAAAGGGAUUAGAUACCCCUGUAGUCCUAGCCGUAAACGAUGGAUACUAGAUGUUGUAUUUUUUACAGUAUCCUAGCUAACGCGUUAAGUAUCCCGCCUGGGGAGUACGCUCGCAAGGGUGAAACUCAAAGGAAUUGACGGGGGCCCGCACAAGCGGUGGAGCAUGUGGUUUAAUUCGAUGCAACGCGAAGAACCUUACCAGGGCUUGACAUACUGCGAAUCUUCUUGAAAGAGAGGAGUGCCUUCGGGAAUGCAGUUACAGGUGGUGCAUGGCUGUCGUCAGCUCGUGUCGUGAGAUGUUGGGUUAAGUCCCGCAACGAGCGCAACCCUUGUUUUUAGUUACCAAUUCGUUGGGUUCUCUAGAAAGACUGCCGGUGACAAACCGGAGGAAGGUGAGGAUGACGUCAAGUCAGCAUGCCCCUUAUGUCCUGGGCUACACACGUGCUACAAUGGUUAGGACAAAGAGUCGCAAGUUUGUAAAAACAAGCUAAUCUCAUAAACCUAGCCUAAGUUCAGAUUGUAGGCUGCAACUCGCCUGCGUGAAG
rnacentral:rRNA from 1 species